rnacentral:rRNA from 1 species
CACUUAGGGCGCAAGCGUUGUCCGGAAUUAUUGGGCGUAAAGAGCUCGUAGGCGGACUGUCACGUCCGCUGUGAAAAGCUAGGGCUUAACCCUGGCCUUGCAGUGGAUACGGGCAGACUAGAGGUAGGUAGGGGAGAAUGGAAUUCCCGGUGUAGCGGUGAAAUGCGCAGAUAUCGGGAGGAACACCGGUGGCGAAGGCGGCGAGCUGGACCCUAACUGACGCUGAGGCACGAAAGCCAGGGGAGCGAACGGG